rfam:Oryza sativa Japonica Group DNA, chromosome 2, cultivar: Nipponbare, complete sequence.
AAAAAGACAAACUCUGGAUUUCCGUGUCUCGUUUGACUGUCCGUCUUAUAUGAAAUUUUUUUAUAAUUAGUAUUUUCAUUGUUGUCAGAUGAUAAAACAUGAUUAAUACUCUAUGCGUGACUUGUCUUUUUAAUCUUUUUCAUAUUUUUUUUAAAUAAGAUAAAUGGUUAAACGUUGGACAUAAAAAACCGAGGGUUUACUUUUU